rnacentral:rRNA from 1 species
AUUGAACGCUGGCGGCAUGCCUUACACAUGCAAGUCGAACGGUAACGGGCCUUCGGGUGCCGACGAGUGGCGAACGGGUGAGUAAUGUAUCGGAACGUACCUUUCAGUGGGGGAUAACGUAGCGAAAGUUACGCUAAUACCGCAUAUUCUGUGAGCAGGAAAGCAGGGGAUCGCAAGACCUCGCGCUGAUUGAGCGGCCGAUAUCAGAUUAGCUAGUUGGUGAGGUAAAGGCUCACCAAGGCGACGGUCUGUAGCGGGUCUGAGAGGAUGAUCCGCCACACUGGAACGGAGACACGGGCCAGACUCCUACGGGAGGCAGCAGUGGGGAAUUUUGGACAAUGGGGGCAACCCUGAUCCAGCCAUGCCGCGUGAGUGAAGAAGGCCUUCGGGUUGUAAAGCUCUUUCGGCCGGGAAGAAAUCGUAUCAGCUAAUACCUGGUGCGGAUGACGGUACCGGCAUAAGAAGCACCGGCUAACUACGUGCCAGCCGCCGCGGUAACAC